rnacentral:rRNA from 1 species
AUUGAACGCUGGCGGCAUGCCUUACACAUGCAAGUCGAACGGUAACAGGUCUUCGGAUGCUGACGAGUGGCGAACGGGUGAGUAAUACAUCGGAACGUGCCUAGUAGUGGGGGAUAACUACUCGAAAGAGUGGCUAAUACCGCAUGAGAUCUACGGAUGAAAGCAGGGGAUCGCAAGACCUUGUGCUACUAGAGCGGCCCAUGGCAGAUUAGGUAGUUGAUGGGAUAAAAGCUUACCAAGCCGACGAUCUGUAGCUGGUCUGAGAGGACGAUCAGCCACACUGGGUCUGAGACACGGCCCAGACUCCUACGGGAGGCAGCAGUGGGGAAUUUUGGACAAUGGGCGAAAGCCUGAUCCAGCAAUGCCGCGUGCAGGAUGAAGGCCUUCGGGUUGUAAACUGCUUUUGUACGGAACGAAAAGCCCUGGGUUAAUACCCUGGGGUCAUGACGGUACCGUAAGAAUAAGCACCGGCUAACUACGUGCCAGCCGCCGCCGUAA